GAUGAACGCUGGCGGCGUGCCUAAUACAUGCAAGUCGAGCGAACGGACGAGAAGCUCGCUUCGCUGCUGUUAGCGACGGACGGGUGAGUCACACGUAGAUAACCUACCUAUAAGACUGGGAUAACUUCGGGGAACCGUAGCUAAUACCGGAUAAUAUUUUGAAACGCAUGGUUCAAAAGUGAAAGACGGUCUUGCUGUCACUUAUAGAUGGUACCGCGCUGCAUUAGCUAGUUGGUAAGGUAACGGCUUACCAAGGCAACGAUGCAUAGCCGACCUGAGAGGGUGAUCAGCCACACUGGAACUGAGACACGGUCCAGACUCCUACGGGAGGCAGCAGUAGGGAAUCUUCCGCAAUGGGCGAAAGCCUGACGGAGCAACGCCGCGUGAGUGAUGAAGGUCUUCGGAUCGUAAAACUCUGUUAUUAGGGAAGAACAUAUGUGUAAGUAUCUGUGCACAUCUUGACGUUACCUAAUCAGAAAGCCCCGGCUAACUACGUG
rnacentral:rRNA from 1 species